AGCGCAGGUGGUUUCUUAAGUCUGAUGUGAAAGCCCCCGGCUCAACCGGGGAGGGUCAUUGGAAACUGGGGAACUUGAGUGCAGAAGAGGAGAGUGGAAUUCCAUGUGUAGCGGUGAAAUGCGUAGAUAUAUGGAGGAACACCAGUGGCGAAGGCGGCUCUCUGGUCUGUAACUGACGCUGAGGCUCGAAAGCGUGGGAGCAAACA
rnacentral:rRNA from 1 species